rnacentral:lncRNA from 1 species
AUUGGCCUAGAGCAUAGCGGCUCAUUAUCCUUCCACCGCUGGUGGCGGGCGGUACUCGCUGCUCUGUGAAGCCAGCCUCAUGCAAUGUCCGCCACUUUAGGUGUUAGGAUGCAAAGGCAUUCGCCAAGGCACCCGAAACCCACUACACAACUUGGAAUGGGUGGUCCACAGUUUGUAGCACUAGACUCAAGCACAUGCACCACUAUUGACAUCCACACUUCCUUAUUGCCCCCGCUCUGGUUACAAGCAAUCGCUACUUGCUCAACGAGUGAGGGGGUUCAGGACUACCUAUUUAAGGUGGUGUUGUACUCUAUGAGGCGGCGAUGUGGUAUUAACCAACAACAAAUAGUGUCAUGCAUGUGAGUUGCUAGUUGGCAGAGUCUGUUGUUGACCUAGCUAUGGGUUGUGGCUGAAGCACAUGACGAUAGAGUAGGCCUAUUAUGUUUUGUUGAUUUUGGGCCUUUGUGGACUUUAUGCUGAUGUCCAGAAUUUUUUUAUGUGUUUCCUCUUCCCUAUGAAGUGAAAAGUGGGUGCGUCAAAGAAGAAAGAAAGAGUGGCUAGCAUUGAUUUUACGUCAUCCCCUUGAGAACAUUAAUCAAAAGCAGAAGCAACAAUAUUUGAUACAUAUGCAACACAUGUAAUCCAUAUAAACAACUUUCCUUCAAAAAUAAUAUAAACCACAUGAUUAUAUCUUAGGUCGGUCAUAUCCACAAAGGGCAAGGACACGCACCUAAGUUUGUAGUUUAGAACUAAGAGUGUCUACUCUCACGAUUUCUUCCCGACAUAUGUAAACUGUACACUGAUCACGUAAAGUAAAGACAUAUGUGGUAACACGAACCUAUAGCAUGUAUUUCAACCUAUAGAUUGUUGAUUAUUAUGGUAGAUUAUAUAAUAUAGGGAUUCCCGAAGAAAUACGUAAAAACGAGAGAAUUAAAUUUUCCUUUUCAGAUUUGGCUAACUGGUAAAAGGAGUUGGAGUAUCUAAGUUUCCAAAUUUGGGAUGUAGAUGUAUAGAAGGAAUAUAAAUAUGUUGGAAAUUUUUCUACAAGGCAAGGUUUAACACAAGUUGGGACAAGAAAAAAGCAAUGAGGAUUUGAUUGCAUGGUCACAAAACUAGAGACAAGAAACAUGAAGAAACCAACGUAAUUAGUAUGAGAGUUUUCCAAAUUUGGUGUCUUGAUGUAGAAAAAAUAAAUAUAUGACAAACAGGUUUUUUGCAAGGCAUGGUAAAAUAUGUGGUUGUGAGCAAUGAAUUUCGUCCUAGAUUUAGAAGGAAUAAAUAUAUCACCAUAUAUGUUUUUUCAUAAUGCCAAGUUAAGCAUGUGGGACCGAGAAAAUAAUUCUAGCGAGGCUAGGUUGUACUAGCCCAAAACUAUAUACAACUAAGGAAAAAUAAAAAAUGAUGGUCUACCAAAUAUGGCGCAUGAGCCUUAAGGUGGACCUAGAGGGAAGUAGAAGAAAUAAAUAUAUAACAGAAUAUGUUUUCACAAUGUAAGGUAAAGUGUAGAUGUGCUCUAACUGGGCUUAGAUUGCAGCGACAUGUAAUCCAUCCACAAGGCUUGGUUGCACAUGGAAAAAUAUAGAGAGAGAAAUGUAGACGUAGGACCAAGAGAAAAACAAUCAAUGAGGCGUGAUUGCAUGAACAUAUAACUAGAUAGAAGAAAAGAGUUAAAGAAAAAUAAAGGAACUAAAUUUUCUUUUGCACACUUACCAUGAAUGGAGCUGUAGUAUCUGUGAUCUCAAUUUUAAUUUAUUCCAAGAUGCAGAAUUAUGUUGCGAGACUCGUAAUGGUUACAUAGGGAUAAAAGUAGAUAAGAAAAAUAGCAAAAAGAUAGUGGUCUACCAGAGAGGGCACAUGUGCCCUAAUUGGCCUACAGCAUAGCGGCUCAUUAUCCUUCCACCGCUGGUGGAGGGUGGUACUCGCUGCUCUGUGAAGUCAACCUCAUGCAAUGUCCGCCACUUUAGGUGUUGGGAUGCAAAGGCUUUUGCCAAGGCACACGAAACCCACGACAGAACUUGGAAUGGGUGGUCCACAUUUUGUAGCACUAGACCCAGGCUCAUGCACCACAAUUGACAUCCACACUACCGUAUUGCCCCCUCUCAGGUUACAAGCAAUCGCUACUUGCUCAGCGAGUGAGGGGGUUUAGGACUGCCUAUUUAAGGUGGUUUUGUAAUCUAUGAGCCGAUGUUGUGGUAUUUACCAACAACAAAUAGUAUCAUGCAUGUGAGUUGCUAGUUGGCAAAGUCUGUUGUCGAGCUAGCUAUGGGCUAUGGCAAAAGCACAUUAGGAUAGAAUAGACCAAUUCUAUUUUUUUGUUGUUUUUGGGCCAUUAUGGACUUUAUGUUGAUGUUGUCCUAAUUUUUCAUGUGUUUCCUCUUGCCUAUGAAGUGGAAAGUGGGUGCGUCAGAGAAGAAAGAAAGAGUGGCUAGCAUUCAUUUUACGUCAUCCCCUUAACGACAGUAACCAAAAGCAGAAGCAACAAUAUUUCAUACAUAUACAACACUUGUAAUCCAUAUAAACAACUUUCCUUCAAAAAAUAAUAUAAACCACAUGAUUUAUAUCUUGUGUCAGUCAUCUCCUCAAAGGGAAGGGAAACACUCCUAGGUUUGUAGUAUAGAACUAAGAGUGUCUACUCUCACGAUUUUUUCCCAACAUAUGCAAACUAGACACUAAUCACAUAAAGUAAAGACAUGUGUGGUAACAUGAGCUUAUAACAUGUAAACCUAUAGAUUGUUGAUUAUUAUGGUAGAUUAUAUAAUAUAGGGUUUCCUAGAGAAAUACGUAAAAAACAAUAGAAUUAAAAUUUCCUCUUCAGAUUUGGCUAACUUGUAAAAGGAGUUGGAGUAUCUGAGUUUCCAAAUUUGGGACGUAGAUGUAUAGAAGGAAUAUAAAUACAUUGGAAAAAUUCAACAACGUAAGGUCUAACACAAGUAGGGCUAAGAAAAAAUAAAUGAGCCUUUGGUCGCAUGAUCAUAAAACUAGAGACAAGAAACACAAAGAAACCAAGGUAAUUAGUAUGAGAGUUUUCCAAUGUAGAAAAAAUAAAUAUAUGAUAAACAUGUUUCUUUUGCAAGGCAUGGUAAAAUAAGUGGGAGUGAGCAAUAAAUUUCAUCAUAGAUUUAGAAGGAAUAAAUAUAUCAAUAAAUAUGUUUCACAAUGCCAAGUUAAGUAGGUGGGACCGAGAAAACAAUUCUAGCGAGGCUUGGUUGUACCAACCUGGAACUAGAUACAACAGAGGAAAAAUGAAAAAAAAUGAUGGUCUACCAAAUAUGGCGCAUGAGCCUUAAGGUGGACCUAGAGGGAAGUAUUAGAAAUAAAUAUAUAACUGAAUAUGUUUUUCGCAAUGCAAGGUAAAGUGUUGAUGUGCUCUAACUGGGCUUAGAUUGCAGCGACAAGUUAUCCAUCCACAAGGUUUGGUUGCACAUGGAAAACGAUGGAGAGAGAAAUGUUUACGCAGGACUAGGAGAAAAAAACAUUCAAUGAGGUGUGAUUGCGCAGACAUAGAACUAGAUAGAUGUAAAGAUUAAAGAAAAAUAAAGGGACUAAAUUUUCUUUAGCACACUUAGCAUGAAUGGAGUUGUAGUAUCUGAUAUCCCAAAUUUAAUUUGUUCUAGGAUGCAGAAGAAAUUGCAAGACUCGUAAUGAUUACAUAGGGACAAAAGUAGGUAAGAAAAAUAGCAAAAAGAUAGUGGUCUAUGAAAGAGGGCACUUGUGCCUUAAUUGUCCUAGAGCAUAGCGGCUCAUUAUCCUUCCACCGCUGGUGGUGGGCGGUACUCGCUUCUCAGUGAAGCCAGCCUCACGCAAUGUCCACCACUUUAGGUGUUGGGAUGCAAAGGCUUUCGCCAAGGCACCCGAAAGCCACUACACAACUUUGAAUGGGUGGUUCGCAGUUUGUAGGACUAGACCCAGGCACAUGCUCCACAAUUGACAUCCACACUAUCUGAUUGCCCCUGCUCGUGUUACAAGCAAUCGCUACUUGCUCAGCGAGUGAGGGGGUUAAAGACUCCCUAUUUAAGGUGGUGUUGUACUCUAUGAGCUGGCAGUGUGGUAUUUACCAACAACAAAUAGUGUCAUGCAUGCGAGUUGGUAGUUGGCAAAGUCUGUUGUUGAGCUAGCUGUGGGCUAGGCCUGAAGCACAUGAGGAUAGAGUAGGCCUAUUACCAAAGAAAUACAUAAAACAAACUAGAGAAUUAAAGUGGCAUUUUCAUUUGGUAAACUCAUAAAAGGACUUGGAGUAUCAGAAAUUCCAAAUUUGGGUCGUAGAUGUAGAGUAGGAAUAUCAAUACGUUGGAAUAAAAUUUCUACAAGGCAAGGUUUAACACAAAUAGGGCUAAUAAAAAAUCAAUGAGGCUUUGGUCGCAUGGUCACAAAACUAGAGACAAGAAACACAAAGAAACCAAGGUAAGUAAAAUUUAUAUUGCAGGCUCGGCUAAUCAUAUCAAAACAAUGGAGUCGGAGAAUAAGAGUUUCUAAAUUUGGUGUCUUGAUGUAGAAGAAAUAAAUAUAUGACAAACCUUUUUUGCAAGGCAUGGUAAUGUAGGUGGGAGUGAGAUAUGAAUUUCAUCUAGAUUUAGAAAUAUAUAUAUCAUUGAAUACGUUUUUUCGCAAUGCCAAGUUAAGCAAGUUGGACCGAGAAAACAAUUCCAGCAAGGCUUUUUUUACCUGCCCAAAACUAGAUACAACAGAGGAAAAUGAAAAAAAUCAUGGGUCUACCAAAUAUGGCGCAUGAGCCUUAAGGUGGACCUAUAGCGAAGGAGAAGAAAAAAAUAUAUAAUCGAAUAUGUUUUUGAAAGGAAAUGUGCCCUUGGGCCAUUUCUAUGUUGAUUUGGUGAUUAGAUGCUCAACACACUGCUAUGGACUAACAACUCCACAUAUGAGCAUGAGUACAGGUAUUUGAAAGGCAAAUUGAGAAAUAUAGGAGUAUAUUGAAAAUCCUAUUGCAUUGAAGGAACAAAGGUAUGAUUCUAGCACUUAGUAAAUUGUUUUAGUGCUAAUUAUGUUCAUCUAAGUGCUAGGACACUUCUCAAGUUGAACCAAUUUGGAGGUAUGGUGUUUGGCUAAGUGUUCUAGCAUUAUAAAGAUGAUUGGUGAUCAAUAAACACAAGACAAAAUAAUUGAAGAACUCAACAUGUACCAGAUAAAAUAAGGACAUUUGUACAUGAAAUUAUCGUAAGGCAAAGGAGAAAUAAGAACUUUAAUCCAGGUGGUUCUAUUUUGAAUACUGGUUUUAGAAUUCAAUUUGUUUCUUGCCUCUCACAAUUAUGUAAUUAUUAACUUGUUUAUGCAGCGAAGUGGUGGCUAAACCAUGGCACAAUGAGAGCACCUAGAGGGGUGAAUAGGUGAUCCUGCAAAAUCAACUCUAAACAACACAAACUUUGGUUUAUAAUGAGUGUUAGUGAAAACUAAAACCAAGUUGUUAUGAGUAGAGAUGGAGAGAGAGAGAGGAUCUCUUCACUUGAUUGCUCCUUUUAAAUGUGUAUCAAACUUAGCAGCAAUAUACAAGUGAAUAUGAGAACUCAAGAAGACAACAAUCGUGAUAAAAUAAAUGCAUAAGAGACACGGCAAUUUUAUCUCAUGGUUCGACCAAUGCUUACUCCAACAAUCGUGAUAAAAUAAAUGCAUAAGAGACACGGCAAUUUUAUCUCAUGGUUCGACCAAUGCUUACUCCACGUUGUGGUGACCUCCUUCGGUCAAGGGUUGCACUCAACCCCUCUCAAGUGAUCCAAAGAUCAAACUUGAGUACCACGGUUUUCUUCCUUAUAUCAAAUCCCCUUUGCGAGGAAUCUUCACAAGUUGGAGUCUCUCACACCUUACACAAAUGAUCUUAAUCAAAGCACAAGAGUAAGGGGAGUAGCAACACACACAAGAGCACAAGUGCAGCAACACCACGCACACAGCAAAGAAGAGAGCACAAGAAUCAAAACGACAGAGUUUCUCUCAAGAAAACGCUUAGUUCUCUCUAGAAUAAGUCGAAAGUGUGGUUGCGUUGAAUCGGAGUAUCGGUUGCUCUUGGUAUUCUUGGGUAACAGCUCCAUAUGCCCAGGGGUCCUUUUAUAGCCCCAAGGGCCAAAGGAGUCGUUGCUUCUUCGUUUAGAAGGCCCUGGUUGCCUUCUGUCCGGGUGUGUACCAGACAGUCCAGUGCACACCGGACACUGCAUAGUGCUCGAUUCACUUCCAUAAACAGCCGAGCCGACCGUUGAGAGUCGUUGCUACCUUUGGUCAGUAGGCACAUCGGACAGUCCGGUGGCGCACCGGAAAUUCUGUGCGGCCUGUUGACCAUUGGCCCGGCAGACGUGGCCACCACGUGGCCAACGCUGAUUGCGUGCCGACCGUUGGCACAGGCGAGAGCCGUUGGUCGCCUGGCUCACCGGACAGUUCGUUGCACACCAGAUAGUCCGGUGAAUUAUAGCCAGGGCACCCGACCAAUUUCCUGAGAGUGGCCAGUUCGGUCGUUGUGCCGUCUAGCACACCAGACACUGUCCGUGCACACGUGACAGUCCGGUGCUACCUAGACUAGCCCAAUUUUGCCCAACCUUAGCCAAACUUCUCUUCCCUAGUUUUGCUCGACUUAAGGAGUUUCCUAGAACUUAGAUGAACAUAGUUAGCAACUAAAACAAUUUACUAAGUGCUAGAAUCAUACCUUGUUCCUUUAAUGCAAUAGGAUUUACAAUGUACACACAUUCGCAGACUUGUUCAGUGGGGACUUGGUCGUUCGUUCCGCAUCGCAGACUUGCUUGGCAGGGACUUGGUCAUCCGAUCUGUCUUGUAGACUUGCUUUGCGGGGACUUGGUCGUCUGUUCCGCCUCGCAGACUUGCUUGGCGGGGACUUGGUCAUCCAGUCUACCUUGUAAACUUGCUUGGUGGGGACUUGGUCGUCUGGUCCGCCUUGUAGACUUGCUUGGCGAAGUCCUGGAGGCCGGGCCAAAACAGAGAUUUAUGGGCUUACUCUUGGUACCCUGUUCCUGGGUAUUCGAUAGCUGCCCCGAGCCUCUGUGCGACUACCUGUGGUUGCACAGAGGCUUUCUUUUGAGGAGUUGAUUUUCUCAGUGCAUGCUAGUGCAUCCGUUAGAUAUAUCCCUUGAGCCCCCAAGUAAUCCAUGAGGAUUGUUUGGGGUAUACAUAGUUUGUGUGCAUUUUCAGGGAUGGAUUCCUUCUGCAUUGGUAUUAUGUGUCGGGCGUGAGUUCAUCUGUUUUAAUGCCGAGUCAUUGUCUUCAAGGGCGAUCCUCCUGGUUUCUACUCGUCUUCUCUUCCGUGUUGGUGUCUCCCCAUUGGCUUCUCUUCGAAGUCUUCCUUUUAAGAGACCGUCUUUCCCCUCCGACCUAGUCGACGCGGGGAGGAGUCUGUCGAGCUAGAAGUGGGUUAUCCAAGUGAGGUUCGACCACCCUCCAGUAGGGUUAGGUCUCGGCAAGCGAUCCCACUAGGGGUGCCUAACCCGCUGGGGCAUCUCAUUGAGUCCUUCCUUAUUCGAUCCAGUUCUGGACCUCUGAUCGGCAUGACCAACCAAAGGGGGCCUCGUGGCCACCCCAUUAGUCGGGUUUCCAUGGAGAAUUUGAGGUAUUUUACCUAGUAGCACGGUGUAAUUGAUAGAGGACGAGGUCUGAUCUUUUGUGAGGUAUGAUAACUUUAUUGGGUGGACAUCUCGACGUUGAUGAUCCAAGGCUCCGAGCGAACGGAUCCUUGCAAUCACUACACCACGUAUCCAUUGGUUAUCACUCGUUACACACGACUCGAGUGUGACACGAGUGACCUCACCACAAAGGCUUAUCCUUGUAAGCGCAAUCAAGAACACAAGCAAGAUAAGAAGAACGCAACCAAAACUGUGUUGAUUACGGGUUGGGGUCUCACAAACCGAUGAAUGGCGAACUGUUCAAUGAUAGAUAUGAUCAAGCAAAACAAAAACCCUAAUGUGGGUGUCUGAUGUUAAAAUAGAGGUUAGGGGCAUGCACAACCCUUGGUGGUACCCCUAAUGGGCUCCAACACGAUACAUGAGCCAACAGCCCAACAGACGGUGUCACCGCACCAAAACAGAAUCUGAACGCAGAGUUGUUUCAACGAUUCCCGUUGACUCCAAAUGAAUUUUAAGUUGGUUCCAAUAGGGUUGGAAAGAUUAUCUCCUUAGUUGUCCAUCCAUACAAAGCCCAACCUAAUCGAAGGUUGGACGAAUCUUGGGCGUCGGUUUUAGUGCAAAAUGGUCCUCGACUCCGAGGUGGAGACAAAGUUGGAAAGCUUAUCUCCUUAGUUGUCCAUUCAUACAACAUCCUAGCUUUUCUACUUGACAUCUUGACCUUUCCCAAGACCUUGAUAGUCAUCUCCAAGGUUCCUAAUCAUCAAUACAUCCAUGACACAAAGCGUAAGCUCAAAAUAUAAUUGACUAAGUAAGAACGAACCUAGAGAUUUAGCUGUCGUGCAUGUGCUCGUUGUNNNNNNNNNNNNNNNNNNNNNNNNNNNNNNNNNNNNNNNNNNNNNNNNNNNNNNNNNNNNNNNNNNNNNNNNNNNNNNNNNNNNNNNNNNNNNNNNNNNNCAGUACAUUUCUUCUUCUUUGAUGAAGGCAAGUGAAUGUACGGUGGUUGCUUCCUUCUGACCUGUUAUUUCUAUCGCCUACACUCUAAUAUCAGAGUAUAGAUUCUUUAUAAUUGGACUCUAUGGUGAUGCUUUACUUGUUGCAUUAUACUGAUGUCAAUAUAUAUUGAUGAUGAUUAUGAUUUGAGUAUGCUCAUGAGUUAAUUCACACCCCUGAAGGUAAAUGAAGUAUUAUUUGAGGUUGGUAUUGUAUCUGAAGGUAAAUGAAGUAUUAUUUGAGGUUUGUGUUGAUCUGAAGGAAGUGAAGUUUAUUGAUAAAUGUAGCAUGCCAUAUACAUUGCAUGACUCAUUUGCAUAUGAAGUUUUGUCGUGACUAUGGUCCGACCGUACCGGUACAACUUAGCAUCGUACGUUGCCCGAGAAGGGGUACGAUGCGGCUUCAUACCCUUAGAGGUAUGAAGGCAGAGGACAUAUGCAUUGCAUUCAUAUGCAUUCAUUGAAGUGAUAUUUGCAGAUGAUGUGGUUUUAUACCCCCAGAGGUAUGAAGAUAGAGUACCUACACAUUGCAUUCCUAUGCAUACAUUGAAGUGAUAUUUGCAGGUAUUGUUGACUCAGGGAAGUGUUAUAGAACCUUUUGGUUGUUCGAGGAAAUGAGAUGGUAUUGGUUAUAGGGGACUACUGAGUUCUAUAUCUACAAGCAUUUCUGAUUUUAAUUGUGACUCUUUUAAAAUGUUGAUGAAUUCAAUUUGUGGUUUAAAUAUCUCGUCAGAACAAUUAGCUUGCUGAGAUGUUUCAUCUCACUCUUGCAUUACUCAAUGCAGGUGCUUGUGCUCAUCAAGGGGAGUGGGAAGUAGCAGCACAUCCACCUUCAUUCUCAUAAUAAUGCUGCCCAGACGCAGCCAUGAUUUAAUUAGAAACUUCUUGUCAAAGGAUGUUUGUUUUUAACUAGUCGUGCGCACUGAUUAAUUCAGUUCAUGUUUAUGGUUGUUCUUCCCAUUGCUAGCAGAUUAUUAAUGUUUAUAUGUUUUCUUAUCAUGAUAUCUAUUUAUACUUUGUUGCUUCCCCGUUUAUGCAAUUUUCAAAGGAGAUGCUGUCGAAAUUUUAUAUAUGAAUAUUAGAUGUGUAGUUUAGUAGCAUUCUGGGUGUUUGUGGAUCCCGGGUGUUACAGUUGGUAUCAAAGCAUAGGCUUAGAUUCUUGGCAAUUUGAAGAUAAAUUUGACACACUUGCACAUAUAGGAAGGGUAUGGGUUCAAAUAUCUUUGAUAUAUAUUAAUGUCUUUGGAGUGCAGAUGACAAUAGUUUCACCCCUCCCUAUUCCUUUAUGGUGAUGUGGUAAGUGUUUAUGGCUUAAUGCUUGAUAUAAUUUAUUUCUGAAAUUUUGAUAUUGUUUUAUUAAUGCGGUAGAUAUCGCUGGUCAUUGGUGAGAAUGAAUUGUUAUUAUGAUUGUGAUAUACAAGUAUGCCUAUGUUGUUUCACCAUGUUUUUCAUGGUUGAGUUUUAUUACAAUAAUAUUGUUAUAUAUGCUUGAUUGUGGAUGUUUCUAAGAGGAGUGUGAAUUGCGUGUUUGGGUACAAGGUAAUCAUCAAUUUGAAUUUAAGUUGUUGAGCGGUUGGUGGAUAGCUCCAACUAUCAUUGCAAAGAAUGAUUGUUUAUGUUGAGAAACCAGUUUUGAAAGAAAUGAAUAUUGGUACUUUAUAUGGAUUUUUGGGGGAAGUCUUUCAUAGCCAGAAUGGCUUACAUGUCGCUCUCAUAUUGUGUGUUUUAGUUGCCACAAAGCCUAGAUGUGGUUUAAAGUGGUUGCCUGUUAGUCAUACUAAUUGUAGAAUAAACCUUUGAUUCUCUUGAUCCAUUGAUUAUGUAUUGAUACAUUGAGGAUCUGAUGGUUCCCUUUUCGAUGCAUGCUUGUGGAGCCAUUUUUUUAGACCACCUAUCUAUUGGUUGAAGGAAGUCCUUGCCUAGCCUAGAGUUGGUUGGGUGUGGCUAGUCACCUAUUCCUAGAUCAUGUGGUGUUUACAUCAGCCUUAAUAUGUUUGUCAAAUGUGUGAAGGAUUAGGGGUUAUUAUUAUUGACUUUGUAUGUCUGGUACUUUGAGUGCAUCGUAUGAUGAAUGAAAUGUAAGUUUCUGAACUACAGUAGAUGAAGACUUAUAUUAUGUGUAGGUUAUCCUUACUAGUUGGAUAUUUUUCUUAGUUGAGAUGUUGAAUGAAGUAUAGUGACAUGGGUUAAGCAAGUAUUGUGUUGUUGUUGGGCUAUCAGUGCUCUAUGUAGAGUUUUUGGCAUUUCUUCGAUGAACUAUGCCGCACAAGAUGUUAUUGGCUUCUUUUGGCUUUAUUGCUCCAUUAGUUCUAUAGAUUUUCUCCCUUUUGGUGGGGUGCAAGGAAUGUUAGAUUACAUGAUUAUCUUUUCAUGAUGGCAAGAAUAAGGUUUAGGAAGAUUAGGAGUUUUGUUCCAAUAGAACUACUUGUUUCAUAGUGCUUUAAGGUGAGGCGUUUGAUCUUCUUAUACAUUCGUCGGGUGUAGAUGUUUCACCAUUUAAUUAAAAUUAAUGGUUGAAGUUGGUAAGGGUUGUGCUUGGUGCUAUUACCCCUUCAUAAAAGAGUGUUGUCUUAAGACAUUGAUGUUGAUGUAUAGCUGCAUCCAAUUUGAUGGUGUGAAUUGGAGUGUUGAUUGCAACUAUGACAUGCUUUGAGCUUCAUUACAUGUUGUUUCAUGCUUGAUGUCAGGUCGUGUAGUUUCCUUAGACCAAUUAGUCCAAGGUAGAGUUCUUGUGUUAAUUAAGACCAAUAAUGGACCCAUGUUUUGAAUUGUGGUGCUAUAUGGGGUACCUUGGGUGUUUUGCUUGGAGUGGCCGAAUUCGAGGUCGAAUUCUUUUUAAGGGGGGUAGAGUGUAAUAUCCCAAAAAAAUGUUGACCAAAAGUUAAUCUUUGGUGCGUGGAUGAGGUAAAGGGUUGUGGGCCAUUGGAUGCAAAGAUAGAAGUCAUCUGAGGCGUCGUUUCUUUCUCCCACAAAAACCCUAGGUGGCCACCCUUUUUUUUCCCUUCACCCCCCCCCCCCCCUCUUGGUCGCCACCCCCUUUUUCUCCCCCUUGGCUGGACGCCCCCUCCCCCUAUGGCAGCCAUCCUCCAUUGCUUCCUCCCCAAGAUCUCCCCCUACGCAGCAAGGAUCAAGAAAAGGAGGGGCACGUUGAAUUGAAGAGGAAGAGAGGAUCAAGGAGAUGUUCUUCCCAUCUCCUCUUGAAGAUUUCUUGGGGAAACCCUAGGUAUGGAUGAGAUCCUUGUUCCUCCCUGUAAUUAUAGGCUUUUGGAGGUUGUGGAUCAUGGGAAUUAAAGGAUUAGAGGUUGGAUUUGAUGCGGGUUAGGUUUUGAUCUCGAAUUUAGUUUUCUGCAGAAUGGCAGAUUCGACAGUUUCUGUUCAUGCCAGUUUUCCGUGGUCUUAGUGGCCUCAAAAAAAUAAAAAGUCUAUGUAUGAGUCGUAGAUAAUUUGUAGAUCUUUCCGUGGCCGCGAUGAACACCUCAAUCGGACAUCCGACCAGAAGUUAUUGCAGUUUUACUAUAGCAGUUUUUCAGUCUCAUAAUUCUGUGCAGAAUCUGUUCUCUUAAGAUUUAGGCAAUUUUAUCAACAGAAUUAAACUGUGGGUUGGUAAAAGAAGUUUUAGAUAAUUUUAUAAGCUUUCCAGAUUGUUAAAGAGUGCAUUCAUAUGAUUUGUGAAACUCCAGUUAUGUUUGUUUUACUGUGGCUGUUCCUGUUUACCUGACAAAAAUGAGUGGGUCUGUUCACUGGUGGGUUUCAUCUAGUAAAUGGACGAAUUGGCUCUUCCAACUAUGGAGACUUUUGUAGAGGGAUAAAAGUUCUUACUUCCAGCAGAAUUUCAUAAUUUUUGGUUCAGCAGUUUUGGAGAUAUCGAAUUUUAAAGUUAACCAUACUGCUGUCUAAAACAGAUUCAGUCAGUUAUCUUGUCAGAUGUUUUAGAACUUGUAGAUGGCAGAAUUUAAUUAUCUAUUGAAUAUUGAAGUUGUAGAGUAUUUGUGUAGAUACUCCUAGAGUAUUUGUUUGAUAUCACCGCUGUUUUAAUUUUAAAGAUACAAAAUUAACAACAGCGUUGCUGCUGUAUGGCAUGUGGUUCAGGGUGGGAGUCUUUCCACUGGGUCUUGGUUUCAAGUGUAGGAGUGUUUUGUUGAUUGAUGGCAAAUGUUUGUGAAAUAUUUGUACUAAGUUUUAUGCCCACUAGCAGGUGGCUACACUCCAGAUCAUGUCUAGUACAUUUCUUCUUCUUUGAUGAAGGCGAGUGAAUGUAGCGGUGGUUGCUUCCGUUCUGACCUGUUAUUUCUAUCGCCUACACUCUAAUAUUCAGAAGUAUCAGAUUCUUUCAUAAUUGGACUCUAUGGUGAUGCUUUACUUGCUUGCAUUAUACUGAUGCUCAAUGAUAUAUUGAUGAUGAUUAUGAUUUGAGUAUGACUCAUGAGAUUAAUUCACACCCCUGAAGGUAAUGAAGUAUUAUUUGAGGUUGGUAUUGUAUCUGAAGGUAAAUAAAGUAUUAUUUGAGGUUUGUGUUGUAUCUGAAGGAAGUGAAGUUUAUUGAUAAAUGUAGCAUGCCAUAUACAUUGCAUGACUCAUUUGCAUAUGAAGUUUUGUCGUGACCUAUGGUCCGACCGUACCGGUACAACUUAGCAUCGUACGUUGCCCGAGAAGGGGUACGAUGCGGCUUCAUACCCUUAGAGGUAUGAAGGCAGAGGACAUAUGCAUUGCAUUCAUAUGCAUUCAUUGAAGUGAUAUUUGCAGAUGAUGUGGUUUUAUACCCCAGAGGUAUGAAGAUAGAGUACCUACACAUUGCAUUCCUAUGCAUACAUUGAAGUGAUAUUUGCAGGUAUUGUUGACUCAGGGAAGUGUUAUAGAACUAUUGUGGUUGUUCGAGGAAAUGAGAUGGUAUUGGUUAUAGUGGGACUACUGAGUUCUAUAUCUACAAGCAUUUCUGAUUUUUAAUUGUGACUCUUUUAAAAUGUUGAUGAAUUCAAUUUGUGGUUUAAAUAUCUCGUCAGAACAAUUAGCUUGCUGAGAUGUUUCAUCUCACUCUUGCAUUACUCAAUGCAGGUGCUUGUUGCUCAUCAAGGGGAGUGGGAAGUAGCAGCACAUCCACCUUCAUUCUCAUAAUAAUGCUGCCCAGACGCAGCCAUGAUUUAAUUAGAAACUUCUUGUCAAAGGAUGUUUGUUUUUAACUAGUCGUGCGCACUGAUUAAUUCAGUUCAUGUUGUUAUGGUUGUCUUCCCAUUGCUAGCAGAUUAUUAAUGUCUUAUAUGUUUUCUUAUCAUGAUAUCUAUUUAUACUUUGUUGCUUCCCCCGUUUAUGCAAUUUUCAAAGGAGAUGCUGUCGAAAUUUUAUAUAUGAAUAUUAGAUGUGUAGUUUAGUAGCAUUCUGGGGUGUUUGUGGAUCCCGGGGUGUUACACUAUUUAAGGUGGUGUUGUACUCUAUGAGGCGGCGAUGUGGUAUUAACCAAUAACAAAUAGUGUCAUGCAUGUGAGUUGCUAGUUGGCAAAGUCUGUUGUUGACCUAGCUAUGGGUUGUGGUUGAAGCACAUGACGAUAGAGUAGGCCUAUUAUGUUUUGUUGAUUUUGGGCCUUUGUGGACUUUAUGCUGAUGUCCAUAAUUUUUUUUGUGUUUCCUCUUCCCUAUGAAGUGGAAAGUGGGUGCGUCAGAGAAGUAAGAAAGAGUGGCUAGCAUUGAUUUUACGUCAUCCCCUUGAGAACAUUAAUCAAAAGCAGAAGCAACAAUAUUUGAUACAUAUACAACACAUGUAAUCCAUAUAAACAACUUUCCUUCAAAAAUAAUAUAAACCACAUGAUUAUAUCUUAGGUCGGUCAUAUCCACAAAGGGCAAGGACACGCACCUAAGUUUGUAGUUUAGAACUAAGAGUGUCUGCUCUCACGAUUUCUUCCCGACAUAUGCAAACUGGACACUGAUCACGUAAAGUAAAGACAUAUGUGGUAACACGAACCUAUAGCAUGUAUUUCAACCUAUAGAUUGUUGAUUAUUAUGGUAGAUUAUAUAAUAUAGGGAUUCCCGAAGAAAUACGUAAAAACGAGAGAAUUAAAUUUUCCUUUUCAGAUUUGGCUAACUGGUAAAAGGAGUUGGAGUAUCUGAGUUUCCAAAUUUGGGACGUAGAUGUAUAGAAGGAAUAUAAAUACGUUGGAAAUUUUUCUACAAGGCAAGGUUUAACACAAGUUGGGACAAGAAAAAACCAAUGAGGCUUUGAUCGCAUGAUCACAAAACUAGAGACAAGAAACAUGAAGAAACCAAGGUAAUUAGUAUGAGAGUUUUCCAAAUUUGGUGUCUUGAUGUAGAAAAAAUAAAUAUAUGACAAACAUAUUUUUCUACAAGGCAUGGUAUAAUAAGUGGGAGUGAGUAAUAAAUUUCAUCAUAGAUUUAGAAGGAAGAAUUAUAUCAAUAAAUAUGUUCUUUCAUAAUGCUAAGUUAAGCACGUGGGGCUGAGAAAUCAAUUCUACCGAGGCUUGCUUGUACAAGCCCCAAACUAGAUACAACAGAGGAAAAAUGAAAAAAUGUUGCUCUACCAAAUAUGGCGCAUGAGCCUUAAGGUGGACCUGGAGGGAAGUAGAAGAAACAAAUAUAUAACUGAAUAUGUUUUUUGCAAUGCAAGGUAAAGUGUAGAUGCGCUCUAACUAGGCUUAAAUUGCAGCGACACGUUAUCCAUCCACAAGGCUUGGUUGCACAUAGAAAAAGGUAAAGAGAAAAAUGUAGACGUAGGAUGGGUUGAAAAACAUUCAAUGAGGCAUGAUUACACGGACAUAGAACUAGAUAGAAGAAAAGACUUAAAGAAAAAUAAAGGAAGUAAAUUUUCUUUUGCACACUAAGCAUGAAUGGAGUUGUAGUAUCUGAGAUCCCAAAUUUAAUUUGUUCCAAGAUGUAGAACAAAAUUGCGAGACUCGUAAUGAUUACAUAGGGACAAAAGUAGUUAAGAAAAAUAGCAAAAAGAUAGUGGUCUACCAUAGAGGGCACAUGUUCCCUAAUUGGCCUAGAGCAUACUGGCUCAUUAUCCUUCCACCGCUGGUGGCGGGCGGUACUCGCUGCUCUGUGAAGCCAGCCUCACGCAAUGUCCGCCACUUUAGGUAUUAGGAUGCAAAGGCAUUCGCCAAGGCACCCGAAACCCACUACACAACUUGGAAUGGGUGGUCCACAGUUUGUAGCACUAGACCCAAGCACAUGCACCACAAUUGACAUCCACACUUCCUU